CCCCUAGAUGUUCUGGGCCGCACGCGCGCUACACUGAACAGUUCAACAAGUCAUAACCUUGGCCGAAAGGUCUGGGUAAUCUCCAAAUUUCGUCGUGAUGGGGAUAGAUUAUUGCAAUUAUUAAUCUUCAACGAGGAAUGCCUAGUAAGCGCAAGUCAUCAGCUUGCGUUGAUUACGUCCCUGCCCUUUGUACACACCGCCCGUCGCUCCUACCGAUUGAAUGGUCCGGUGAAGCGUUCGGACCGUGGCCUUUGGACGGUUCGCCGUCUGUUGGCUGCGGGAAGUUCGUUAAACCUUAUCAUUUAGAGGAAGGAGAAGUCGUAACA
rnacentral:rRNA from 1 species